GGGGAUAUAGCUCAGUUGGUAGAGUGCUUGCCUAGCAUGCAAAAAGGCCCUGGGUUCAAUCCCCAGCACCACCA
rnacentral:tRNA from 1 species